rnacentral:rRNA from 1 species
CCCCAGGUCAGGCGGGGCNUCCCGCUGAGUUUAAGCAUAUCAAUAAGC